UGGCUCAGGACGAACGCUGGCGGCGUGCUUAACACAUGCAAGUCGAACGGAGCUUAGAAGGAAGCUUGCUUUCAUUUAAGCUUAGUGGCGGACGGGUGAGUAACGCGUGAGCAACCUGCCCUCGAGUGGGGAAUAACAUCGAGAAAUCGGUGCUAAUACCGCAUAAAGUCGAGAGACCGCAUGAUCUUUCGACCAAAGGAUUUAUUCGCUUGAGGAUGGGCUCGCGUCCGAUUAGCUAGUUGGUGAGGUAACGGCCCACCAAGGCAACGAUCGGUAGCCGAACUGAGAGGUUGAUCGGCCACAUUGGGACUGAGACACGGCCCAGACUCCUACGGGAGGCAGCAGUGGGGAAUAUUGGGCAAUGGGCGAAAAAGCCUGACCCAGCAACGCCGCGUGAAGGAUGAGGGUCUUCGGAUUGUAAACUUCUUUGAUUGGGGAAGAAUAAAUGACCUACCCAAAGAACAAGCCACGGCUAACUACGUGCCAGCCGCGGC
rnacentral:rRNA from 1 species